rnacentral:lncRNA from 1 species
AUCUAACAACACUAACGUAGUGUUAUCCCAGGCAAGCCCCGGUGCAUUUGCCACCUCCUUGUUGUUUUUAAAACUUUUAUCACUUAUAUGCUGCAUUAGGUGAUAGGAGUUGAGUGAUGAAACAGUUGAUGCAUUACGAUUCCUUGGAAUUUGAUUAUCCUCCUUGCUACCUGUUUUAUAAAGAGAACUAAUGAGGCUUAGCCCUGCCUAGAGAAUUAAAACUUGUUUCUUUUUAAAAGAAUGAUGUGUGACACUGGGUAUGGGUUUGUUUUAUGAAAAAGGACUUGUAAUGGUGAGCGCAUCAUCUGCAGUGAUGAAUUCAUCAUUCAAGUAUGGUACCUCUGUCAGGUACAUGGUUUUGGGAAGGAAAAUAAUAAGAUGAGACCAGACGUUGAGCAGGAAAGGUCGCCCGUCUGUGUCGAUUAAGGACCGUACCGAAAGUAGGCUUGCUGAUCUAGGACCCUUUAACUGGCCACAUGCCUCGUCAUGGGUAAGCUUAGCCUCGGCUGGACCAAUACCAGAAAGGUCGGCCCGCAAUGGGAGUGGAGAGAUGGCGAGAGUAUCGUGUAUCCACCUGGCAAGAGGCUGGAUGGUGGGGUACUGAGCUCUCGGUUGGCGGGGACCCGUUCUGGUCUUAAGGAAACCUGUGGGCGAGUUGACAUAUGCAAGGGUUAAGUGCUACAUAUGUCGUGUGGUUGGAGAUCCUCAGCUGAGUAUUAAUCGAUUCAGAUCGCCGUUACUUCUCGGAUAUGAAGACUGGAUCACUGCCCUGCAUCGUAGAUAACAAGUGAAACUAAAGCUUCUAAAAUGAAGCUAGUAUAGGACAAGUGAAUGCUCUAGAUUAGGCAAAUCUAGAUUCAGGAAAAGUACUUAACCUGUGAAGUAAAAUUUUGGCAUAAGGAUCCACUACUAGUAAGCUCUUCUGCAAAAUGAGUCUUUGAAAUUUGAUAAGCUUUACCUUGAUUCCCAAUAAACCAGCAUACCCUUGAGAGUCUUUUCUUUAGUCGGGUAAGUCUUGCUGAGUAAUUGCGUACUCAGGGUUUUUUUCCCUGUUGUUUUUCAGGUUAUAAUUUUGUUCUGUUGUGGAUGCUACUAAGUGCCGGUGGGCUCGACCUUCUUAUAUAGGUGUAUCCCAUCUUUAGCUUCUUUAUUGAGGAUUGUCACUUAAGCUAGCAUGUAUUUUAAAACCUAUAAAUAUUUUAUACAUUUUAAAUUGAAUUCUUUUGAAUCACUUUCUUUUGUAAUCACUCCGAUAAUUGUAUAAUGUAAACUUAUUGUAACAUGUAAUCAUUUUGCAAUAAAGAAUUUAUUUCCGCUGCAAAUGUUAGUGUGUGAUUUGUGUUUACUUAAUCCUGCGAUCUUGGUGGUAAGUCGUUUAUCCGGGGUCCUCGGGGCACUCGGACAGAUUCUGUUAAGUUGUUUGGUGCACACACAUAGCUGUCUGAGGUCUUUGAGACAAGGACAGGUGCAUGUGGGCCCGAUAACUUGGGAGGUUCUGCGACAGCUGGUAUCGGAGCGUGAUUAAGUAUAAUACGGUCACAUACAUAUUUUUAAAACAAAGUUUUGGUUUCAAAAACCUAUUUUCAACUAAACACAUUGUUUGGUUUUGAAAAACGGAUUUGAAAAACUAUAAUGCUAGCGACAUCCUCUGUUAAGCCCUAAGUUAAGGACUACUAGGUGGCUUAGUUCAGAAUACUAACCCACAACCAGGGAAGGGUAAUGCAUACAUGUGUAUUGUUAUUUUUGUGGCCAUUCAGUCUUGAAUGGAUCGACGCUCAGGUAAGGUGAGAUGUGAGAGCGUGACCGGACAAACGUCGGUCUAGGAGAGAGCAUAAACAACGCUUGAUUAUAUACAUGUUUUACAUAUGUAUAUAUGAAGGCUGUGAUGUGGAGUAUUUAAUUUUCUGGAAUUCAGUACCCCAUGGAUGUGUAUGGGUAUACAGACAUGGGAAUACUGAAAAGUGUAAUGUACCACAAUGGGCUGCUCUGUGGUUAAAGUGUGGCAGCGGCGCCUAUGCGUGGCUCGACGCUUAAUGAGGAGCUGGCCUCCAUAUAGAAAUAUAUGGAGUAUAAACUGUGAUAAACUGUCAUGUGUGAAUUGCAUCAUUGGGAAAUGGGUUGUGAUGAAAUUUUCUGCAGGUACACUAACUUCGAACUCGUAUGUGUAGCUGACGACUAGCAAUAUAUCGAGAGAGACGUAGUUAUGCCACCGAUAUAGAACGCUAUUGCCAAAUUAUGUUGGUGAAAUUCGUGAGGACGAAUAGGACGAGCAUGCAUCCUGAUUGUUGCAUUGUGUUUGUUGUUUGCGCACAGAAAUGCUUUCCUCACCUUUAUUCUAAUAAUAGGUGAUUGUGAACGAACAUGCUUUUCUCAUCUUUAUCCCGAUAAUAAAUAAUUGGAAACUGUAUGAAGUAUUACUGUUCUAUAAGCAAUUUCUAGCUUUGUUUGAUGUGUCCUUUAGACAUGUGUGAAAGUAGCCUAGAGGGGGGGGGGUGAAUAGGCUAAUCUGAAAAUUUUCACAACAAACUUCGAAAGAUUAUUAGAUACACAGUUCGACUGGUGCAGGCCGGUUCAACAGCUACGUGCGCAAGUUGAACCACUCUGAACCAAUCCAACUGUUUUAAAAACUUUAGACUAAAAUCUACUCGAAAAGUAUUUUGCAAGUUCUUGAGAGAAGUAAGAUAUAGCUAAGUGAGGAUGACAAGAUGAAUAUGUAAAGGUUAUUUUACUUCUAGAUAAACUCUACGGAGAAAUCUUUAUGUCAAUCUUGCAAGUAAAAAAUAUCUCAAGUUGAAACAAGCAAGAACAUAAGACACAAGAUUUUAUCCGAGGUUCGGCCACACCACAAAGGUGUCCUAGUCCCCGUUGAGGAGCCCACAAAGGGCCGGGUCUUUUUCAACCCUAAUCCUCCAAAAGCCGACCACAAAGGUCAAGGCAAUCUCUUCUUAUCUUAGCUCAAAGAGCGGGUGAUACAAACUUCUUAGGGUCGUCCACAAAUUUGGAGACUCCCAAGCAACCUCAAAGAUCUUGAAACCUAGGGUUUCAAGAACACCAAGAACGCACAAGAGGGGUUUGCACAAGCUCAAGUCUUUGAAAGAGAGAUGGGAGAGGAAAACCAAAUCGUGAGCACAAGCACAAACCUCACACCCAAGAGCUCCUCCAACAAGGUUGAAUCUUGAGGAAGAUUUAAGUGUGAGAGAGAUGGAGAGAUGAGUGCUUUUUCUCAAGUUAGGUGAGCAAUAAAUGAGUGAGUGUUCAGCCGUAUUGAAGAAGAGAGAGAGGGGGGUCUAUUUAUAGUCACGGCUCAAAAACUAGCCGUUUGACCAAAAACCCCGUUGAAAACCGGUUGAACCGCCCCCUAGGGCGGUUGAACCGCCCCCUGACAGGUCAGCAGACUGUCUGCCAGUCUGACUGCCAGACUGACUGGCAGACUGACCUGCAGGCGGGUCAGACAGGCCAGGAGCGGUUGAACCGCCCCCUAGGGCGGUUGAACCGCCCCCUGACACCCCUGGCGACCUGACUGCCAGUCUGACUAGCAGACUGCAGAUCAGAGGUCAGAGGGUCAGAGACCAGUUGAGCUGCCCCCCAGGACCAGUUCAGCUGGUCUAGACCAGAGAGUUUUGGAGAGAAAACCCCAGCUCAGCUGCCCUGGGGCAAGUUCAGCUGGGUAUGGUUAGAGAGGUCCACAGCUGAAGUUGAAGUUCAGCUGGAGUUGAAAGUUCAACUCAGCUGAAGUCCAGCUCAGCUGAAAAGCUCAGCUGCAGCUGAAGAAGCUCAUCACAACUGAAGUUAAGUUCAGCUGGAAAGCUCAGCUGCAGUUGAAGAAGGUCAGCUGUUUUUCAGCAAGAACACUCUAGGUUUCUCAACCCAAACCAUGGUCAGCCAAAUAAAGUUAAAGUGAUUUUUGGUUUUCAAAAAUAGCUUUUGAAUUAGAGGACUUGAGCUAUAGCAAACACCUGUACCUGUGCGGAAAAGAACAAGGAAGAAUUACAUCAUGCAACACAAGAUUUUACAUAAAUUUUAUACGUCCGUUGCAUGAAGUCCUUGGUGCUUCCUUAAGUUCCUGUUUCCUUUUAAUCAAACACUGAGAACAAAAACUGUUAGUACCCUUAUUUGUUUUGUCAUUAAAUCACCAAAACCCUCACUUGGGGUUGAUUGCACUUACAAUCUCCCCCUUUUUGGUGAUUGAUGCCAAAACAAUUAAGGUCAAAAGAUAUAUAUUUGCAAUAGAAAAUUUCUUUUGAAUGAUUGUAUGUAGAUGGCUCCCCCUAAAUGUGUGCACGAUUGUGAAUCCAACGUCUUGACAUAAUAUGUCAUGUGAGCAACACAUUUAGAGAUAGUGACAAAAACCAUGCUAAAUACAAUCAUCCGAGGGGUGCAAAAGGUCAUAACAUGAGUUGUGAUGCACAUGACUAUAAACACAUUAUUUUUACUUCAUAGCAGAGUAGACAUUACAAACUGAUAGGACAAAAGAUGAUGGCCAGAAGACCAUCAUAUUACUUUGAAUAACAAUCCAACAGUUUUAUUUCAUACAAUGGUAAAACGGGUACAAGCCACAACAGUGGCCAAAAACAAAAAUAAAAGAAAAAAACGAAAGAACCACAAACUAGAAGUUGGAUUUUCUCCCCCUUUUUGGCAACAAGUACCAAAAACGGAGAGAGAGACAAGGAUACAAGAAUCAGUAUCCUCCAGGAGGAGGAUAUGACGGAGGAUACGAUGGAGGAUAUGAAGUGUAGUCAGGGAAAAAAGUCCUCAUCGCGUCCUCCUCAAAAGUGGAGUCCCGAGGUGGCUCAUCAGCCGCAGAAAAAACAGAUGCCGAAGAUGUACGAUGAUCAGGAGGAGGUGGAGGGUGGUGGUGGUAACCAGAGCCGGAUGGCCUAGGGUCACCAGGAAUGGGUCCCGGACCCGGGUAAGGAGGCGGAGGGUGGGAGGAUGAUUGACCCGGAUCCCCAUGGUAGGGAGGCGGGGCAAACUCCUCGCGAUCAUCAACAUAGACUUCGUCAUCUUCAUCGUCUGCAGACAUAAAAGGCACCCCGUAGGCCUGCUGGUGCCACUCAUUGAUCUCCGGGGGAGGAGGAUGGAGAGGCACAUCAGGCAAACGAGGGACAAAAGGCAUGCCCAUGGAGGAAGCUUGACGACGAAGAUUGUCGUCAGUCUCCCGCUGACGCCGUGCCACCUCAUGGACAUCAGCAGAAAUGUUGCGGCACAUGGAGAAAAAUGCCGCAAGCCCAUGGACCAAGCGAGCACCCAUCCCGCGGCCACGACCUCGACCACGACCACGAGCACGUGGCAUGGGAGAUCCGCGGCCAGGAGAGGGACGCGAGGCAGCAGCGGGGGGAGAGGAGGAAGGAUGGUGGGGAGGCUGGCGAGGUGGCUCAGAGGAGGAGGCAGGGCCUCCAGACCGUGAGGGAACCCACUUCGUACGAGCAGCUGGGUUGGAGGAAUCAACCCAGUAGGGUACGUAGCGGGAGUGUUUGACGGGUUUUUCGAAGUGGGUCUGGGUGACCACUUCGAUCAUCUUCAUGAUAAAGGGUGCAUGAAGACACCCUCUGUGAGGAGACCAGGAAGCACGGACGAUCUCUUCCCAGAUCAUGUCAAACACAUUGAUGCGGGCGAGACUGUUUGGAGCAAGGAGGAGGAGGAGGACUCGACUCUCCCCAAGGACGUUCAUUUGAUUACCGCCCUUUGGGAGAACGGUCAUCCGGGACAAGGAAUUAAGGUACCUGUAGUACCUAUGCAUGUUAGCGGUUGUCCAGAACUCCCACUCAGUAGAGACAUGAAUGAAUUCCGUCUCUUCCCGCAUGGGCAGCCGAAUGCCAUGCACUCGCAUGUUGCUGCCCUGAAUGUCUGCAUCAGAGAAGCCCAGAAUAUGGGCAAAACGACGAUAACUGACUUUGUGCCAGUUACCCUGGAUGAAGAAAUACAUGACUGGGUAAUCAUACCCAUCGGCUUCCUCAUCUACUUUCUUUAUCCAGAGGGUUGCAUAGAACUGAGCUACCACCUCAUCGUUCCAGGGGUAUUCCAUGGUCAUAAUGUUACGUAACCCCUUUCUCUCUAAGUUUACGAGAGCUGACGACAUGUCAGCAUCUCCCAUAUUCUCACAACCCUCCCAGUCAAUAAAUCUAUGUCGGACGACUGGGUGUUUCUUGGUAAGAAUGACAGAAUUGUAGAAGUCAGCCUAGAAAAGAUUCCAGAACCGAGGGUCCUGGACACCAGGAUGACGAGGAGUGAGAGUAGGGUUGGUAAACCUCAGACGCUGAAGGGUGUCUAUUCCCUUCUGAGUGAAGUCGACGAGAGAUUCAUGCGGACCGCGACUGACGUUCGCCGGAUGCAUGUGCAGUCCGGUGACGUAGAGAGCAUCAGGCGCCGGAAGGUCGACGAAGUCGUCGAAAGCCCCAUCCUCCUCUUGGCAGGGAGCAUACCCUGAGGAAGACGUGCUACGACGAGGACGAGAGGCGCCAACCUUUUGACGUCUCCCGCGAGUCGGCUGCGAGGGCAUGGAAGAGCCCUCGCCAGCCAUCCGACCAGAGCCACGUCCUCUCUUAGAGAGGGAGCGACGAGGCGGAGGAGAGGGGACGGGAGAUUCCUCCUGAAUCUCGUCGGAGUCGCUGCUAAACUCAACCAUAGAGGGGUUGCGACGACGCACCAUGAUUGAAAAGGUGGUGAAACUGUGAACCGGUUGAAGUGUGUGAAGGAGAGGCUCUAAAGGUUGUGAAGCGACCAAGGCGAGAGUGAAUGAAGUGGGAGAAGAGAAGGGGAGAGUCAAGUAUAUAUAGGCAGUUGAGCUGGUCCUCAGGACCAGUUCAACCGCCCCCAUGGGCCAGUUCAGCUGGUUCUGACCAGUGUGGUCAGAGAACCAGAAACAACAGAGGGAAGAAAAAAAUUCAAAUUUGCGCGCAGCUGCUGGAAGUGACUGGACAGAAAAAAAUGGGCGCCCCUGACACGCAUGCAUGGCUAGUGUGCGGGCAAAGCAGAAAUGUCCAAGAAAAAUCUGCGCGCGCAGCAGGGGGGAAGUGACCGGACAAGGCAAAGGUGUCUGCAUGACAAAAGAAAAAGGUGCAGCGCGACAAAAAAGGGCAGGUGACAGACCUGCGACCGGUCAAAAAGGUGCUGCGCAACUGAAAAAAUUGCAGGUGACAGACCUGCGCGGACAGGCCGGUCAGAGACCGGUUCAACCGGUCCACUAUGCCGGUUCAACCGGUUUUAACCAGGAUGGUCCUGGUAAAAACUGGUUAAAAACAGCUGAGCUGAAGUUCAGCUGCUAAGUUCAGCUGGCCUCCUCCAGCUGAACUAGAAAGUUCAGCUGGUCAAGCCAGUUGAACCCAAAAGAAAUCUUAGCACUAAAAUGCAUUCAAAUUUUAACAUUUUCACCAAGUUUUUGAAAGAUCAUCACAUAGCUUUAAAACUAUCAAUAAAAAACAGUGAAUCAAACAAUUUUUGUGACCGUUUUCAAGUUAAGUUACGAGAAUCCAAGAUAUUUAAUUCACUCCUAAGAAAGCAAAACCUAGUCUCAUCGAGGGGUUUUGUGAAGAUAUCGGCUAGUUGAUUUUCGGUGCUCACAUGAAACAAUUCGAUAUCUCCUUUGGCUUCGUGGUCUCUCAAGAAAUGGUGUCUGAUGUCAAUAUGUUUAGUUCUAGAGUGUUGCACAGGGUUGUUUGCAAGUUUUAUGGCACUCUCAUUGUCACACAAAAGUGGAAUUUUGUUAAACUCACAACCAAAAUCUCGAAGGGUUUGCUUCAUCCAUAACAACUGUGCACAACAUGCCCCAGCUGCUAUGUACUCAGCUUCUGCAGUGGAAAGUGCAACACAAUUUUGUUUCUUGGAACUCCAUGAUACUAAGGAUCGCCCAAGGAAUUGGCAAGUCCCAGUAGUACUUUUUCGAUCUACUUUGCAACCGGCAUAAUCUGAGUCAGAAUAGCCAAGUAAAUCGAAAAUGGAGCCUUUGGGAUACCAUAAUCCUAGGUUUUGGGUGUGAACUAAGUAUCUUAGAAUUCUCUUAACUGCUACAAGAUGGCAAUCUUUAGGAUUUGCUUGAAAACGUGCACACAUGCAAACACUCAACAUAAUAUCAGGUCUAGAUGCACAUAAGUAAAGCAGUGAUCCUAUCAUUGAUCUAUAUAAUGUUUGAUCUACGGGUUUACCUUCCUCAUUUAGGUCGAGAUGUCCAUUUGAUGACAUUGGAGUCUUGGCGUGUUUUUCCUUUUCCAUGCCAAAUUUCUUGAGCAUAUCUUGUGUAUAUUUGGUUUGGCAUAGAAAAGUACCUUCCUUGAGCUGUUUGACUUGAAAUCCCAGGAAGUAUUUAAGCUCGCCCAUCAUAGACAUCUCAAACCUGUUCGUCAUUACUUUGCUAAACUCUUCACAAAAUUUUUCAUUAGUACUACCAAAUAUAAUGUCAUCAACAUAUACUUGGCACACAAAUAAUUCAUUGUCAACUUUUCUAGUAAAUAAGGUAGAGUCAGCUUUUCCUAUUGUAAACCCAUUCUUAAUUAAAAAUUCUUUAAGACAGUCAUACCAAGCUCUAGGGGCUUGUUUAAGCCCGUAGAGUGCCUUGUGAAGAAGAUAAACAUGAUUUGGCUUCUUUGGAUCUUCAAAACCCGGUGGUUGCUCCACAUAUACUCUCUCUUGUAGUGGUCCAUUUAGAAAUGCGCUCUUGACAUCCAUUUGAUAUAGCUUGAAAUCAUGGUUAGUAGCAUAUGCAAUUAAUAUUCUAAUUGAUUCUAACCUUGCUACCGGCGCAUAUGCUUCGCCAAAAUCGAGUCCUUCCACUUGAGUAUAGCCUUGGGCAACCAACCGUGCCUUGUUUCUUGUAACCACGCCAUGUUCAUCUUGCUUGUUCCUAAAGACUCAUUUAGUCCCAAUCACAUUUUGUUUGGGUCUUUGGACUAAGGACCAGACUUCAUUCCGGGUGAAGUUGUUUAACUCCUCUUGCAUGGCAAUUAUCCAAUCCGGAUCACCCAAUGCUUCUUCAACCUUAAGUGGCUCAAGAGAGGAAACAAACGAGUAAAAUUCACAAAAAUUAGCUAAACGAGAUCGAGUUGUUACCCCUCUCCUGAUGCUACCCAGGAUGUUGUCCACUGGAUGAUCCCUUUGUAUUGUUUGAUGGACUCUAGGAUGAGGCACUGAUGGAUGUCUUUGUAUUUGCUCCUCCUCAUCAAUUACUUGAUCAAGAGGCACUUCACCAUUAAUACUUUCUUGUUCAUCUUCUACCACUGUUGGCAUCCUUUGAUGAUUUUCUUCGUGGCUUGGAUGACUUGAGAUUGAUGGGUUUGCUUGGGUGGAGACUUUGUCACUCACCACCCUUGCACCCACAUCAACUAUCUCAUUGGUCAUCCAUAAGGUUCCUUCUUCAUCAUCCCUUUCUUGAGGUCUCACCUCACCUAUUGCAAGUUUCUUUAUGGCCUCACAAGGUGGUUCUUCAUUUCCUGCAGUGUCAUUAGAAACAUGCCCUUGCGAGCCAUUAGACUCAUCAAAUGUCACGUCUAUCGCUAUUUCAACAAGACCGGUGGUAUUGUUGAAAACACGAUAUCCAUGCGCAUUUGAUGCAUACUGUGACGGAACCUCCCAAGUAAUUAGGCCCACCUACAGUUGUCCUCGUCUCAAAGACAUCAGACAACCCUGUAGGUGCCCCUGAACUACUUGACAAGUUCGGUAUCUUUCCUUACCUUACCAGGAACGUUUCACCCAUCUUGUAGACAUUACAGAACAUCGGAGAUGAAGAAAUGCGGAAGCGAAUUACAUAAUCUUACAUUUAUUUCAAAAGCAAGCUUGAGUUAGGUUAUUACAGACCAGACUAUAAGUGAGUGCAGAGUAGUAAUAUUAUACAAGCCAGAGGAGGCAUAAACUCCUCCCGAUAAGCUAAAAGCAAAAGAUCCUAAGUGGAGGACCGAGUCCUCCCGCACUUCAGUCUUGAUUUUCUUCUUUGGGAACCACCUUGGCACAGAAGCAGCAAAAGUCUGCUACUUCCUCACCUAAAAACAACGAAGGGAUAAACCCUGAGUAUGGAAUUACUCAGCAAGUCUUACCCGACUAAAGAAAAGACUCUCAAGGGUAUGCUGGUUAUGUGGGAGUCAAGGUAAGGCUUUUCAAUAUUCAAAGACUCUGUUUUGCAGAAAUGCUUACUAAAGUGGAUCCUUAAAAAUCCAAUUUUAUUUGUCAAGUUAGGUAAAAUUACCUGCACUAGAGUUCUUUCUACCCUAGUUCAAUCACUGGUCCUGCACUAGCCAAUUUCUUAACAAGAGCCCAUCGUCUUUAGUGGAAUGCUACGUGUAGGGUAGUGACCAAGUCUUCAUGACCGCGAAGGUACGGCGAUCCGAAUCGAUUAUACUCAGCUGAGGAUCUCCAAUCACACGACAUAUGUAGCACUUAACCCUUGCAUAUGUCAACCCGCCACCGGGGUUCUUAAGACCGGAUCAGGUUCACGCAGACCGAGAGCACAGAUACACCACCGUCCAGCCUCUUGCCACGGAGGGUACACGCUACUCUCGCCACCGCUCCACGCCCACCUCGUGUUGUCUUAUUCCGGCCUUAGUCUGCCCGAGGCAAGGCUUACCCAUGACGAGGCAUGUGACCAGCUAAAGGGUCCUCGAUCAACAAGCCUACAUCGAGACGGUCCUUAAUCGACUCAGACGGAGACACUACACCGAGACUCUCUUCUCGUGCAAGUCACCCGCCCGGUCUCAGUUUAAUCAUUUCACCCCAAAAACUUGGUACCUGGCAGAGGUACAUCUUUUCCGAUGUUGAAUCCAUCACGGCCGUGAUGGAUCCACCAUCAAGUUUUAUUUUCGAAAACAACCCUCCCACUUUGCCAAACAUCUUUUGUAAAACAAAUCCUUUGUUUUUCUAAAGCAAUGCUAAGCAAAGUAAAAUCUUUUGUAAAAACAGGAUUUCAAGGGGGGUAAUCAAGAUCAAGGAAGGUAAUGCAGGAAUUGUUUAACAAUCAACUCCUUAUAACUUAAUGCAGCAAGCAAGUGAGAAAGAUUUUUUUAAAAACAUCAAGGGAGGUGGCAAAUGCACCGGGGCUUGCCUUCGUUCACAGGUGAAUCAGGCUCAGAUCCACAGAUGUCAAAGUAGAAAUGAUUCCCGGCCUGAGACUCCGAAGGUGGUGGUGGUGUCUCCUCUUCGGUAACUUCGAUUUCUUCCUCACGUUCUAAUCAUAACCAUACAUAUGUAUAAGAAUGGAUGCCAUGGGAUGCUCAUGAGGAUGCAAAGAUAACAUAAACUUAUUAUUUAUGUCUUGAAUACAACUUUCCUUCACGGAGUUCCGGGAACUUAGGGUUUCCGGAGUCGGUAAAGGAGUUCAUAGGGCAAGGGGGGGUGUUUUGGGGUUUGGUGAUCAAACAAGGUCCAAAUUAAUUAAAACUCUACCCAAGGCUUCUAAAUAUUAUAUAACACUCAUAUAAAAAUUUUGAGCAUUUUUGGACUUACCAUUUGUUUUCUAAAAAUCCAUAAUCAACAUUUUUAACUACUUUAAAUACCCUAAAAUUUCUUACUUCCACUAAAAAUCACAAACUUAUUUUUAUUAAAUACUAUGGAAAAUAACAAACCUAGGAAAAUUAGUUUCACAAUUUUAGCAUUUUUCUACAUUUUUCUACAUAUUUCUAAAGCUCUGCUGAAAAAGAAAAAGAAAAAGGUUUCAACAGUAAUGGGCUGGAUUCAGCCCAGGCGGCCCAGAUCCACGCGGAAUCGCGCGCGCGUCCGCGCCCACGGGGCGAGUUUGCGCAGAGGCCCUCGGCGUUUUGGCUAACUGGAGAUGGGUUCGGUUACUGUUUUUCUGAGUCACUGACGAUUUGCACAGAGAUCCCUCAAGUUCUAAUUCUUCACAAUGCUACGCCCCGAUGUCGCACGGUGGAGGUCCGAUCACCAGCGAGGUUAGGCCGGCCGGAUUACGCAAGAAUCGGCGUUCUCGAGCGGCAGACACCAAAUCAGACCCCCUCCGAGCAUUUCCCCUAACUUAAUCGCGCUAGUGGUCAACUAUGGAGCUCUGGCCACGGUGGCCGUAAGCAUCACGGCAAGACAGCCGUGUUCCCGGCGAUGGGUGGCGGUCUAUUCAAAUUAAAGGGGUCGGGGAGCAUCGCAGAUGUAUGAGAAUGCUCAAACAAGGGAGCAGAGGACGGGAACUGACCGGAGUUAGGCUGGCGACGGUGAGCUCGAUUUCACGGUGGCGGAAAUCGGAUUUGGGGGAAACUCCGAAUUUGAGCACACGAGUGGAUGAUUGUGGCCGAUUAGCGGUGGUUAGCUAGUUGACUACCUCACGGAGCUGGACACGGGCUCAAUUUAUAGGGAGGAUGGGCGGUGGCCGUGAAUUUCGAGCAAGACGCGCGGCGGUCGGAGGUGGAGAAGAACACUGGCGCAGUGAAUACGUGUUCAACGUCGUGGCAGCUAUUCCGGUGAGCAACGGGGAGCUAAAGUGAAUCGUGGCGGUGCAGUGGCGAGGCUCGGACACGCGGCGCAAGGCCGAGGGGCGGUGAUCAUCGGUGUAAUUAUCCAGUUCCGCCGCGGUGAAUGCUUGUACGGUGGCCGGAAUACUUUACUGGCCGGAGUUAUCCACGGCGAUGAUCUCCAAGUGCUAUCCAGUUGAUUUGGUCAUGAGUCACGGCGGUGAUGGCACGAAUCUUUGCGCAGGGAGGUCGCCGGCGGUGAAGUUUGCUGCGCUGGCGAUCUGAUCCAUGGGACACUGUACCAUGGAGAGCACCCAUCAGAUGAACUGACAGAGCGACUUGGAGCACGAUUUUCUCUCAAUUUUCAAUGGUAACAUACUCCAUGCUCUGCAGCAAAAUUGUAGAGCUAUAGAUCAGCUAUAGGUUUGUCACAGCAGCCAUGGGCAGAUUCUUGCUGGAUCAUAGUUGAAUUUAUGCUCAAAGUCGUAGUGAUUGCACUGUCUGUCUGAAAAUUCAGACCUUAGUAACCUGACAGUCCAACUUUAGACUUAAUUAUCACUAAAUUCUUCUUAACAACUGAUCUCACAUUCUUAAGCAAAGUUAUGCUCCUAUAAUUGGGCUACAAUUUUGAUGUGGUGACCUAGGGUAAAAACCCUAUACUUUGAAAGUUACAAAGCCCCAAAGUUAAGCCAAUUCUCUGGUUUUCAGACUUAGAAUAGAACUCAAAUGAGGUCCAUUUUGCAUUUAAGUCCAAAACUUAGGGUUUGGCUUUUAAGUCCACAUAUUUGUGAACCAAUUGUCUUAAAACACUUAUUUGGCUUGAUUUUUGCACUUUAGCCCAAAAGUGGGCUAAUUUUGCAUAUAAGUCCCUAGGGUUUGGUUUCAGGGUUUUCCAGGGUUCCAAUUAGGGUUUCUGGUAUCCCAGGGGUAUAAAAGUGAUUCAAGUUUAUUCUUAGGGUCAUUUUAUGACUUUUACCCUAAAGUCUUUUGGUUUUCUUAACUUGGGUAAAGUUUUACCCCUAUAAUCCCUAUUUAGGGUUAAGUUCCUUAACCAGGGUUCUAGUUGCAAAACACUUAAAACAAUACAACUUGUUUGAAAUUUUUGCCUAGUGAAUGCACUCUAGGUGUGUCAAACAUAUGCAAUGCCAAUGCUUAUGAUGUCAUGCUCAAGUUUUAGUAAUAGUAACACCAAGGGUGUUACAUCCUUCCCCCCAUAAAAGAAUCUCGUCCCGAGAUUAAAAAUCCUAGGGUAGGGAAUGGUAAAAGGAACACAUCACAUUUUUAUUUCUUUAAUUUUGGUACAAGGCAGGGGUGAUGUGGGGGUUACUCCUUUAUUACAACAAUUAUACAGACUUUAUAAUUUACAUGAGGCUAAAAAGCCUGGGAAAUUCUUAUCUAAGAAGUCUUGGGUUUCCCAUGUAGCCUCAUCUUCCGAAUGCUGGUUCCACUGUAUCUUGUAGAACUUGAGAGUCUUUCUUCGGGUGACCCUGUCCUUUUGAUCCAGAACUCGAAUAGGAUGUUCCGAGUACGUUAAAUCUGGUUUCAGGACAACAUCAGUCACUUCAACGGUUCGAUCAGGAACCCGAAGACACUUCUUCAGUUGUGAUACGUGGAACACAUUAUGCACAGCAGACAAGGUUUCGGGGAGUUGGAGUCGAUACGCCACUGGCCCAUAUCUUUCCAGAAUAAGAAAAGGACCAAUAUAUCGUGGUGCAAGUUUUCCUUUAACUCCGAAACGCGAUACGCCCUUCAUUGGCGAUACCUUCAGGUAGACAUAGUCCCCUUCAAGAAAAUACAAGGGCAUUCGCCGUUUGUCUGCAUAACUCUUUUGCCGUGCUUGAGCUUUCUUCAUAUUAUGGAUAAUUCUCUGAACCUUUUCUUCAACCUCUUUCACCAUAUCAGGUCUAAAGAAGUAUCUUUCUCCAGGUUCAGACCAAUUUAGCGGAGUCCGACACCGUCGUCCAUAUAAAGCUUCAAAGGGUGCCAUCUUGAUACUUUCUUGGUAGCUAUUAUUAUAUGAAAACUCCGCUAAAGGUAAACAUUCAUCCCAUUUUAGUGAGAAAUCCAGGACACAUGCCCGCAGCAUAUCUUCAAGUAUUUGGUUCACUCUCUCAGUUUGUCCACUGGUUUGAGGAUGAUAGGCCGAACUGUGGAGCAGUUUAGUACCCAGGAAUUUAUGAAGUUCUUCCCAGAAUUUAGAUACAAAUUGUGGUCCACGAUCCGACACUAUAGUCUUUGGGAUACCAUGCAAACUGAGAAUACGGGCGAUGUACAACUCCGCAUAGAUAUUGACGUGAUAUUUUACCUUGACCGGGAGAAAGUGGGCGAUCUUUGUAAGUCGAUCGAUGAUAACCCAGAUGGAGUCAAAGCCUUUUGCGGUUCUGGGCAAUCCCACAAUGAAGUCCAUGCUGAUGUCUUCCCAUUUCCAGGUUGGGAUUGGCAAAGAUUGUAAUGGACCCGCAGUUUUCAUGUGUAUGGCCUUGACACGUCUGCAAGUGUCGCAUUUAGCCACAUAGCGUGCAAUUUCAAUCUUCAUCUUAGUCCACCAGUAAUGUUGUUUUAAGUCUUGAUACAUCUUAGUGCUUCCGGGAUGAAUAGAAUAGCGACUAAGAUGUGCUUCAUCAAGAAUUUGCUGGCGGAGCUCUUCGUUCUUUGGUACUACUAUGCGGUUUUUGAACCAUAUCACACCUUGAUCGUCUUCCUUGAAACACUUGGCUACUCCAGCCUUUAUCUUCUCUCGAAUGUGCUUCAUACCCAGAUUAUCCUUUUGAGCAUCAAUUAUCCUUUGCAAAAUGAUUGACUCAAGCUUUAACUGAUUUAGAGUCCCUUGUUGGAUGAUCCCCAGGUUUAGCUUUUCCAUUUCCUGACACAAAGUGUUCUCGGAGGUCUUCGCCAUAAGACAGUGGCAGGAAGUCUUACGACUCAACGCAUCUGCCACCACAUUGGCCUUGCCUGGGUGAUAAUGGAUCUCCAAUUCAUAGUCUUUGAUGAGCUCAAGCCAUCGUCUUUGUCUCAUAUUUAACUCUGACUGGGUGAAGAUGUACUUCAGACUUUUAUGAUCUGUAUAUAUGUGACAGAUAUUACCCAGCAGAUAGUGACGCCAAAUCUUUAGGGCAUGAACCACAGCAGCUAGCUCCAGAUCAUGAGUUGGAUAGUGCUCCUCAUGCCGGCGCAACUGCCUUGAAGCAUACGCAAUCACUCGGCCCUCUUGCAUCAGUACACAGCCGAGCCCACUGCUAGAUGCAUCACAAUAUACAUCAAAAGGUUUAGUGAUGUCCGGUUGAGCUAAUACCGGAGCAGUGGUCAAUAGUGUCUUUAGUUGCUCAAAGGCUUCAUUGCACUUAGAAGACCAAUUGAACUUAAUGUCAUUCUUCAACAAACUUGUGAUUGGCUUCACAAGCUUAGAAAAAUCUGGUAUGAAUCUGCGAUAAUACCCAGCUAGUCCAAGAAAACUCCGGACUUGGUGAACAGUUGUUGGGGGUUUCCACUCCAGAAUAUCUUUGACCUUGCUAGGAUCUACCGCAAUUCCUUUAGCUGAUAAUACGUGCCCCAAAAAAUGAAUUUCUUCCAGCCAGAACGCGCACUUACUGAACUUGGCAUAUAGCUGAUGUUCCCUGAGGCGCGUCAAUACAAUCUGUAGAUGCUGAGCAUGGUCCUCUUCAUUCUUAGAAUAUAUCAAGGCAACUGAGGAGUCCUCCCUUCUAAGGAUCUUCACAUCCACAUCCAAAAAUAGGCAAUUAUAACCCAUUCCACAAAGUUGUGAAACGGACAACAAAUUAUAGCUUAAAGAAUCUACUAAUAAAACAUUUGAAAGUGAUUGUUGGUCUGAGAUAGGAAUUUUACCAAUACCAAUCACCUUACUUUUGCCACUAUCUCCAAACACAAUUUCUUGUGCUUCUUGAGUUAGUUGCAAUGUAUGAAACAUGUCUUUCUCCCCGGUCAUGUGAUUUGUACAUCCACUGUCAAGCACCCAACUUGACCCACCAGAGGAGUAGACCUGCAAAACAAGUUUAGGCUAUGCUUUUAGGUACCCAAAUUGAAUUGGGUCCUACAGUGUUAGUUAUAGCCUUGGGUACCCACACACUUCUUUUCAUGACUUUUCGUUUAGUGUAGGCACCCACAUAUUUCACAACCAAUUUUCCUAAAUCCCAAGUCAACAUAUAAUCACAAAGAUAUGAGUGGGAAAUGGGAGCAUUAGAUUUUUGUCCACUUGAGGAUCCCACUUCCUUCAUCUUACUCUUUGUGGAACUCAAGUUAACCUUUACCUGAGGUGACUUGUCAUUUGAGGAGUGAAUCCUCCCCAAGGCAUCAUGUAGGGUGGUUCCCUCUAUGAACUUGGGGGAUCUCCACCCCUUAUGCACUGUGCUAGGGUUUUCCUUGGAUGAGUUGAACCCAAGCCCCCUUCUUCCAUUGUUGGGCUUAAGGGACUUGUACUUGGGUUCAACUUUCUUUAACCCAUCAUUGCUAGAGCAUCUUUUAAAAAUCUCUUUGACCUUCACCUGUGGGCUAUUCUUCCUUGCAUGGUUAGUUAGACAACAAGAAGCAUGAUACUUGGCACAAUGUUUGCAAGAAUUAUCAUUUAAGCUAGACUUAGAUUCAAGAACUAAACAUGAGGCAUUGAUGUUCUUGUAAUUUUCAAGUUGCACUUGAAGUUCUUGAUUUUGAACAUUUAAGCUCAACAUGCUUGAUUCAAGUGCAUUCUUUUCAUUUGCAAGAUUAUCUAUAGAUGUUUUCAUGUUAAUUACUUCUUUAUCUUUAUUGUGAAUCAACUCUUGAAGCUCUAGGUUUCUUUCCUUUUCAAGGAUAAGCAAGUCUUCUUGAGCAUCAAGAGUUGCUUUUCUUUUAUCUAGCUUUUCCAUUAACUUGGUGAUAACAUUGUAUCCAUUUAAGCCAAAUUCUUUAAUCAUUUUAUUUUUCAUGGCAAUUUGAUCAUCAUCAUCAUCAUUUGAAAAAUCAUUACUAAAUAGGGUUACCUUAUCUCCUUUUGCCAUUAGGCAAGUUGGAGUGUAGGAGUUGUCUUGUAGGUUGGUGAAGAGUUGCGAGCUUGAUGUAGAUUGGAUGGCCACGUUUGCCACCACUUCCUCUUCCUCGGAGCUAGAACUCUCUUCAUCGGAGUUCCAUUCUUCACCAAUAUGGGCUUGACCAUAUUUCUUCUUCUUGAAGUGUCCCUUGGUCUUGCCCCCCUUUUUGAACUUGUCCUUCUUGUAUUCCUUCUUAGCUUCUUGUUCCUUCUUGUUAGGACAAUCCGCUAUGAAAUGACCGGUUUGGCCACAUUCAUAGCAUGCCCUCUUCUUUCCUUUCCUUUGAAACUUGUCAUUUUUCCUUACAAAUUUCUUGAAUGUUUUGAUGAACAUAGUUGUGUCUUCAUCACUUGAGCUAUCUUCAUCACUUGAGGUCUCGACCACUUUCUUUGCUUUGUGGUCUUUGUUCUUCUUGGGGUUGUCUUGUUCAUUAGUGAUCAAGGCAUGAGAGUCCCUUGACUUGAUGGGGGCUUCUUCGGACUCAUGUUGUUGAAUCUUUGCAAAUAAUUGAUGAGGCGUCAUAUCCUCAUAGUCAUCACGAUCCCUAAUCAUCCUUGCAAGACUCUUAUCCUUUUCUUUAUAAGCUCUCAUGAACAAUCUUGUGACCUUGGAGUCACUCCAAUCUUCAAUCCCAAGAACUCUUAUUUUGUUGACCAACACCAUCAACCGAUCAAAGAGUGAUUGAAGCGACUCACCCUUUGUCCAAUCAUAUCUUGCAAGCUCACUUUCCAAAGCCUCAACUCUAUGUCUUUUAGCUUUGGGAUCUCCUUCAUGUGACAUUUUAAGAAUAUUCCAAAUGUCACGGGCAUCUUCUCUUCCUUGAACUUUCCGGUAUUCUUCCGGACAAAGACUUCCUUUAAUUAUGCUCACUGCUUGAGCAUUUCGAUGAACCUCUUGCAUCAUUUCUAGAGUCAUCUCUUCUCCUUGGGCGGGCUUAUACAUACCUACAUUAACAAUCUCCCAAAGACUAGGAUGCACACCGAUUAAAUGCGACUUCAUCUUGUCGGCCCACUCAUCAUAGUUCAACUCACUAAGAGUUGGUAACUUUCCAAGUGGGGCGGAAGAGAAGUUGGGAAUAUAAUUUCUAGAGUAAUCGAAUUGAACUUUGCUAAAGUCAUUACCUUUGCUUUUGGUAGAUGAUCCUUCGGUGUUGAGACUUACCUUGCUCAAUACCUUAGACACCAAAAGAUCCACUAGAUCGUCAUUAUAAUCAAAUGUUCCCUUACCUUUAUCUUCUUCGGCCUUUCUUCUUGAUUCUUCUUCUUCGGCCUUUUUCUUAGCAUCUUCCUCUUUCAUUUUGAGGAACAUUCUCUCGGCAAUCUUCAUGGCGAGGUCGAGGACCUUGGGGUUCACUUCCUCACCGGAAGAUGUGAUGGGAAUUUCCUCGAGGAGAGGAUCCACAUGGUCCCGUUGAGUAGACAUGACUGUUUCCUCACGCGGUUAAGCGUAAAACGAGGUACGAGGCUUUGAUACCAAUUGAAAGUAGCCUAGAGGGGGGGGGGUGAAUAGGCUAAUCUGAAAAUUUUCACAACAAACUUCGAAAGAUUGUUAGAUACACAGUUCGACUGGUGCAGGCCGGUUCAACAGCUACGUGCGCAAGUUGAACCACUCUGAACCAAUCCAACUGUUUUAAAAACUUUAGACUAAAAUCUACUCGAAAAGUAUUUCGCAAGUUCUUGAGAGAAGUAAGAUAUAGCUAAGUGAGGAUGACAAGAUGAAUAUGUAAAGGUUAUUUUACUUCUAGAUAAACUCUACGGAGAAAUCUUUAUGUCAAUCUUGCAAGUAAAAAAAUAUCUCAAGUUGAAACAAGCAAGAACACAAGACACAAGAUUUUAUCCGAGGUUCGGCCACACCACAAAGGUGUCCUACUCCCCGUUGAGGAGCCCACAAAGGGCCGGGUCUUUUUCAACCCUAAUCCUCCAAAAGCCGACCACAAAGGUCAAGGCAAUCUCUUCUUAUCUUAGCUCAAAGAGCGGGUGAUACAAACUUCUUAGGGUCGUCCACAAAUUUGGAGACUCCCAAGCAACCUCAAAGAUCUUGAAACCUAGGGUUUCAAGAACACCAAGAACGCACAAGAGGGGUUUGCACAAGCUCAAGUCUUUGAAAGAGAGAUGGGAGAGGAAAACCAAAUCGUGAGCACAAGCACAAACCUCACACCCAAGAGCUCCUCCAACAAGGUUGAAUCUUGAGGAAGAUUUAAGUGUGAGAGAGAUGGAGAGAUGAGUGCUUUGUCUCAAGUUAGGUGAGCAAUAAAUGAGUGAGUGUUCAGCCGUAUUGAAGAAGAGAGAGAGGGGGGUCUAUUUAUAGUCACGGCUCAAAAACUAGCCGUUUGACCAAAAACCCCGUUGAAAACCGGUUGAACCGCCCCCUAGGGCGGUUGAACCGCCCCCUGACAGGUCAGCAGACUGUCUGCCAGUCUGACUGCCAGACUGACUGGCAGACUGACCUGCAGGCGGGUCAGACAGGCCAGGAGCGGUUGAACCGCCCCCUAGGGCGGUUGAACCGCCCCCUGACACCCCUGGCGACCUGACUGCCAGUCUGACUGGCAGACUGCAGAUCAGAGGUCAGAGGGUCAGAGACCAGUUGAGCUGCCCCCCAGGACCAGUUCAGCUGGUCUAGACCAGAGAGUUUUGGAGAGAAAACCCCAGCUCAGCUGCCCUGGGGCAAGUUCAGCUGGGUAUGGUCAUAGAGGUCCAUAGCUGAAGUUGAAGUUCAGCUGGAGUUGAAAGUUCAACUCAGCUGAAGUCCAGCUCAGCUGAAAAGCUCAGCUGCAGCUGAAGAAGCUCAUCACAGCUGAAGUUAAGUUCAGCUGGAAAGCUCAGCUGCAGUUGAAGAAGUUCAGCUGUUUUUCAGCAAGAACACUCUAGGUUUCUCAACCCAAACCAUGGUCAGCCAAAUAAAGUUAAAGUGAUUUUUGGUUUUCAAAAAUAGCUUUUGAAUUAGAGGACUUGAGCUAUAGCAAACACCUGUACCUGUGCGGAAAAGAACAAGGAAGAAUUACAUCAUGCAACACAAGAUUUUACAUAAAUUGUAUACGUCCGUUGCAUGAAGUCCUUGGUGCUUCCUUAAGUUCCUGUUUCCUUUUAAUCAAACACUGAGAACAAAAACUGUUAGUACCCUUAUUUGUUUUGUCAUUAAAUCACCAAAACCCUCACUUGGGGUUGAUUGCACUUACAAUGUGUUUAUGUGGUCUGUGGUUCUUCUUAGUUUGACCGAUAGUGCAACUUAUGUUUAUUUUUGUGCCUGUGUGCCGAUAGAAUAUUGGUGACUUGUUUGCAUAAACCCAAAAUUUGGCCAUGUCCUCAUCUAGGAGCCAUGACCCAAAUCGAUGUUAAUUCCCCGAAGUUUUUUUCCCCAGUUUCCAAAAGUGGACGAGUCUGAAUUUCUAUCGUUACUUUAGGGCCAAGCUUAUCUAAAUAGGUGUUUAAGUAUUCUUCUCGUAGAAAAUAAAUGGACCGGAGCUUAAGAUAAGGAUCUCGGGUCUGUGAUCUUGACAAUUCACUUGUAGCUCUCUUAUGGUCAUAUUUUCAUCCUAAACCAUACCCUUGUUUGGUUGGUGCAAGCUGAUGGUUCUAUUCUGCUUUGCCUCUCCAUGAGAAUCACAUUGUUGAUUUCUCAAUCUAACCUAGGAAAGGAAUGCCCAAUAGUUUUCUUGAAUUUAAUGCCUUUGGUUUUCUCAUAUCUUUCGAAGGCAUACCAACUUAAUCUUAUGAUUGUUUUCCCUCCGUAUCUAAUCAAAUACUAAUCCUUAACCUUGUAAUCUUUGCGAUAGGCAUAGAAAUAUGCUUGGGGCUAAAAUAACAGUCUUCCAUCGUACUCCUUUCAUCAAAUUUAGGUUAUGGCCAUGUCUUAUUCGUAUCAUUGGCCAUGAUCUAUUUGACUCUCUACUCAUAAUUAUUCUGACAUGUAGAGUCUCUUUGUAUAUUGUCACUCUUGCUCAAUCCAUUUGUCCCGCGCGAGAUAUCUUAUUGGUUACGUCUGGUAAUGGUGUUAUGACUAAAACCGAUGGUGCCGCGACGAAACCGAGGGCCUCCUGUGAAUGUACACACAUGGUUGUGCUGCUCGGCACACGCUGGUAUCACGGUGAGUAGUUGUAAUCCAUUAUGAGGCUAUAUCAAUGUGUUAUCUUGGCACAAUCUAGUUUUGUCAUGCGAAAUUCAUUAUUGGUGCUGUUCGGUAAUGGUGUCACGAUUAAUGAUUUGUGGUGCCGCCGCGAAACUGAGAGCCCCUUGUGAAAGUACACGCAAGGUUAUGCUGCUUGGCGCAUGCUGGUAUCGAGGUCUUUGGUCAUGAUCCAUUGUGGAACUACAUUGAUGUGUGAUCUUCUGUGGACUCCUCCCUUGAAACGAAUUUUGUGUCGUUUUCUAAAACAAUCCAACAACAUAUGCCAUCACUAUUGAAUCAAAAGAGUAUAUAACUCUGAUAUAUUCCUUGGUAAAUUUUCUACCCAUUCAGAAAUCUCCAACAAAAAUCAAAACCUAUCUGUGUUUGGAUCAUGUGAUAAAAAUCCAUCUUCCCAUGUGUGGUCGCAUGUCUUUUGACUCAAGUGGUGACUGCACACAUACAAGUUCCCUUUGCAUCCUUUAUUUUAAAGGUGAAGCCUUGAAGCUUUUUAGUGUUGGAAGACAGCUAUUAGUUCUCAAGAUGGAGAAUUGUUUUCUUUCCUACUGAGAUGCAGGAGUUUAUUCAUUUUCUCUCUUAUCCAAUACAUGUGUUCCCUAACCAAGUCAUUCCAUCUCAGAUGAAGAAAUGGAUGAACAACCUGACUGAAUGGAUCUUUAUCUAAAUACAUGGCCUCCUGCUAGCAAACGUGAACUCUCGACCAUUAGAUUGCCGAUGGGUAAUAAGAGGACUUGCUCAAUGUCAAAAGUAGUUCAACAAGUUGGUUUUACUAACUUGUAACUGCCCAAUGAACAAAGGUUGAGUUUAGAGAUCGUUUAUCGAGUUGUCUAAACUCACUUUAGUUCAGCCUAUCUUGAAGAGACCCUUGUGAAGAUCAAGUGAAGGUUAUGACCAUAUGCGCAGAUCUUAUGCCAUAUUGGAUUAUAUUAUGAGCAUAUGUAUCUUAACUUUAUCUUGUUGGCCGAGGCACUUUGCCAUCCUCAGCUGACUGAUAACAUCCUGACCACAGUUCUAGUCGUGCCUCAAUCGCCUCACAUGUGAUUUUCUAACAUGUGUGAUCAAGCCGAGCCAUGCUUAGUGCUUGAUAAAAUGGAUUGGACACGAGGUCAACAUCUACAGAUCCCUUCAUUCCUUGAAUCUCUAUCAUUUUUCUUGGACUUGGAUUCCCUGGCUAACCACGAGUUAAUUGUGAUGUUAUUCGACAUCCAUCCUCGUCUUAUGUGCUAGGAAUUGCUAUCCAUUUGUCCACCGUUCUCAACAGACUCAGAUAGUACAGUGUUAUCAGAAAAAAACAAACUGCACACAUGUAGCCUCAUGUGUUCUUCUAGCUAAUGUCGUCUCUAUUGAUGGACAUCCCUAAUUAGCUUAAAAUGAUACAUGCUAUACCCACUUGAGGAACCAACAUCUUGGAGUACUCAUCUCUACUCGGAACUGUCUUAUGCUAUCACUAUUAUGGACAGGGUUACACGCCUCUCUACUCUUAGAAGUCUUUCGUUCUGAAUCUCGGGACGAGAUUAUUUUAAGGGGGGAAGGCUGUAAUACCCCAGGUGUUUAUCGUCUACUCGACUACGAGCGUGGACGUCAACACGUGAUAGCAGUAAAUAUAAAGGUCACUAAGUCCUAAUUAUUUUUUGUCUAUCAUGAUUUUGAUAUCGUAUCUGUCUCCAUAAAUCUAUACUACCAAAAAAAUCGUGAAAUUCGAAGUUUAGUUAAUCUUCUGAAUUAUUGAGUCGUGUGUCUAAUUAAAAUUAAUCGAUUGAGCGAAGGCAGAUUUAGAAGCCUAACUCGUCUUGUGGUUUUGGCCAAAUAAAUUUAUUAGAAUUCAUCAGUUAAGCGAAUACGAAUUUGGAAAUUUAGUUCAGUCCUCUGAUUUCGUCGCACACAAAUUAAAUAGAACUCGAUGACUAAAGUUUUCAGUGCAAAAUAAUUUAGUUCAUGCUUGUCAACCGAGAAAUCAUCACGUCCGAAAUUUAUAAAUGAGAUUUGUUUCUCCAGUAAAUUAUCUAUAGCCGUUGAAUCAUGUGUUUAGAUCACAGAUGAAAUUAUUUGAUUUCAAAUUGAAAGGGAAUUAGGAUUACACCUAGUUCCUAUAUAAUUUUGGUGGUUGAAUUGCCCAACACAAAUAAUUGGACUAACUAGUUUGCUCAAGUGUAUAGAUUAUACAGGUGUAAAAGGUUCACACUCAGCCAAUAAAAAGACCAAGUUUUGGAUUCGACAAAGGAGCAAAGUGGCAACCGAAGGCCCUCUGGUCUGGGAGCACCGGACUGUCCGGUGUACACCGGAUAGUGUCCGGUGCACCAGAGGACUCCAACUUCAAACUCGCCACCUUCGGGAAUUUCCAGAGGCACUCGCGCUAUAAUUCACCGGACUGUCCGGUGUGCACCGGACUGUCCGGUGCGCCAAGAAAGGACGGCCUCCGGAACUCGCCAGCCUCGGGUUUUCACUUCAGGUGUUCCGCUAAAAUUCACCGGACUGUCCGGUGUGCACCGGACUGUCCGGUGCAUCCUCAGAGCAACGGCUACUUCACGCCAACGGCUACCUGCAACGGCAUUUAAUGCGCGCGCAGCACGCGCAGAAGUCAGAGUCGCCCAUGCCGGCGCACCGGACAGCAAACAGUACCUGUCCGGUGUGCACCGGACACCCAGGCGGGCCCACAAGUCAGAAGCUCCAACGGUCAGAAUCCAACGGCAAUGAUGACGUGGCAGGGGGCACCGGACUGUCCGGUGUGCACCGGACUGUCCGGUGCGCCAUCAAACAGACGGCCUCCACCAACGGUCAAGUUGGUGGUUGGGGCUAUAAAUACCCCAACCACCCCACCAUUCAUUGCAUCCAAGUUUUCCAGCUUUCAACCACUAUACAAGAGCUAGCAUUCAUUGCAAAGCACACCAAAAGAGAUCAAAUCCUCUCCCAACUCCAUACAAAGCAUUAGUGAUUAGAGAGAGUGAUUUUUAGUGUUCAUUUGAGCUCUUGCGCUUGGAUCGCUUCUUUUCUUUCGCAUUCUUUCUUGUGAUCAAACACUCACUUGUAAUUGAGGCAAGAGGCACCAAUCGUGUGGUGGCCCUUGUGGGAAGUUUGAUUCCCAAGUGAUUUGAGGAGAGAAGCUCACUCGGUCUGAGGGACCGUUUGAGAGAGGGAAGGGUUGAAAGAGACCCGGCCUUUGUGGCCUCCUCAACGGGGAGUAGGUUUGCGAGAACCGAACCUCGGUAAAACAAAUCCGCGUGUCUCACUUACUUAUUCGCUUGCGAUUUGUUUUGCGCCCUCUCUCGCGGACUCGAUUUUAUUUCUAACGCUAACCCGGCCUGUAGUUGUGUUUAUAUUUGUAAAUUUCAGUUUCGCCCUAUUCACCCCCCCUCUAGGCGACUAUCAAUUGGUAUCAGAGCCCGGUGCUUCAUUAGAGCCUAACCGCUCGAAGUGAUGUCGGGAGAUCACGCCAAGAAGGAGAUGGAGACCGGCGAAAAGCCCACUACAAGCCACAGGAGCACUUCAUCGGAAGAGUCCCGCACCAAGAGGAAGGAGAAGAAGAAGAGCUCCUCCAACAAAGGGAAGGAGAAGAAAUCUUCUUCUAACCACAAAGAGAAGAAGGAAAGAUCUUCCUCCCACAAGCCACAUCGGAGAGGGGACAAGCACAAAAGGAUGAGAAAAGUGGUCUACUACGAGACCGACACUUCAUCAACAUCGACCUCCGACUCCGAUGCGCCCUCCGUAACUUCUAAACGCCAAGAGCGUAAGAAGUUUAGUAAGAUCCCCCUACAUUACCCUCGCAUUUCUAAAAAUGCACCUUUACUUUCCGUCCCAUUAGGCAAACCACCAACUUUUGAUGGUGAAGAUUAUGCUAGGUGGAGUGAUUUAAUGCGAUUUCAUCUAACCUCACUCCACAAAAGUAUAUGGGAUGUUGUUGAGUUUGGUGCACAGGUACCAUCGGUAGGGGAUAAGGAUUAUGAUGAGGAUGAGGUGGCCCAAAUCGAGCACUUCAACUCUCAAGCGACAACAAUACUCCUCGCCUCUUUAAGUAGAGAGGAGUAUAACAAAGUUCAAGGGUUGAAGAGCGCCAAAGAGAUUUGGGAUGUGCUCAAAACCGCGCACGAGGGAGACGAGCUCACCAAGAUCACCAAGCGGGAAACGAUCGAGGGGGAGCUCGGUCGGUUCCGGCUUCACAAAGGGGAGGAGCCACAACACAUGUACAACCGGCUCAAAACUUUGGUGAACCAAGUGUGCAACCUCGGGAGCGUAAAGUGGGAUGACCACGAAGUGGUUAAGGUUAUUCUAAGAUCUCUUAUUUUCCUUAACCCUACUCAAGUUCAAUUAAUUCGUGGUAAUCCUAGAUAUACUAAAAUGACCCCCGAGGAAGUAAUCGGGCAUUUUGUAAGUUUUGAGUGCAUGAUCGAAGGCUCGAGGAAAAUCAACGAGCUUGACGAACCCACCACAUCCGAAGCUCAACCCGUCGCAUUCAAGGCGACGGAAGAAAAGAAGGAGGAGUCUACACCAAGUAGACAACCAAUCGACGCCUCCAAGCUUGACAAUGAGGAGAUGGCGCUCGUCAUCAAGAGCUUCCGCCAAAUCCUCAAGCAAAGGAGAGGGAAAGACUACAAGUCCCGCUCCAAGAAGGUUUGCUACAAGUGUGGUAAGCCCGGUCAUUUUAUUGCUAAAUGUCCCAUAUCUAGUGACAGUGACCGAGGCGACGACAAGAAGGGAAGAAGAAAGGAGAAGAAAAGGUACUACAAGAAGAAGGGCGGCGAUGCCCAUGUUUGUCGCGAGUGGGACUCCGACGAAAGCUCAAGCGACUCCUCCGACGACGAGGACGCCGUCACCAAGGGACUUCUCUUCCCCAACGUCGGCCACAAGUGCCUCAUGGCAAAGGACGGCAAAAGGAAGAAGGUAAAAUCAAGAUCCUCCACUAAAUAUGAAACCUCUAGUGAUGAAAAUGCUAGUGAUGAGGAGGAUAACUUGCGUACUCUUUUUGCCAACCUUAACAUAGCUCAAAAGGAAAAAUUGAAUGAAUUAGUUAGUGCUAUUCAUGAAAAGGAUGACCUUUUGGAUUCCCAAGAGGACCUCCUUAUUAAGGAAAAUAAGAAGCAUGUUAAGGUUAAAAAUGCUUAUGCUCUAGAAGUAGAAAAAUGUGAAAAAUUAUCUAGUGAGCUAAGCACUUGCCGUGAGAUGAUUGACAACCUUAGGAAUGAAAAUGCUAGUUUAAGUGCUAAGGUUGAUUCACAUGUUUGCAUUGUUUCAACUUCCAAUCCUAGAGAUAAUAAUGAUGAUUUGCUUGCUAGGAUUGAAGAAUUGAACAUAUCUCUUGCUAGCCUUAGAGUAGAAAAUGAAAAUUUAAUUGCUAAGGCUAAAGAUUUUGAUGUUUGCAAAGUUGCAAUUUCCGAUCUUAGAGAUAAAAAUGAUAUUCUUCAUGCUAAGAUUGUUGAACUUAAUUCUUGCAAACCCUCUACAUCUAUUGUUGAACAUGUAUCUAUUUGUACUAGAUGUAGAGAUGUUGAUAUUAAUGCUAUUCAUUAUCAUAUGGCUUUAAUUAAACAACAAAAUGAUCAUAUAGCAAAACUAGAUGCUAAAAUUGCCGAGCACAACUUAGAAAAUGAGAAAUUUAAAUUUGCUCGUAGCAUGCUUUAUAAUGGGAGACGCCCGGGCAUCAAGGAUGGCAUUGGCUUCCAAAAGGGAGACAAUGUCAAAAUUGAUGCCCCUCCUAAAAGAUUGUCCAACUUUGUUAAGGGCAAGGCUCCCAUGCCUCAGGAUAACGAGGGUUACAUUUUGUACCCUGCCGGUUAUCCUGAGAGCAAAAUUAGGAGAAUUCAUUCUAGGAAGUCUCACUCUGGCCCUAAUCAUGCUUUUAUAUAUAAGGGUGAGACAUCUAGCUCUAGGCAACCAACCCAUGCUAAGUUGCCUAGAAAGAAAACUCCCAGUGCAUCAAAUGAUCAUAACAUUUCAUUUAAAACUUUUGAUGCAUCUUAUGUUUUGACUAACAAAUCCGGCAAGGUAGUUGCCAAAUAUGUUGGGGGCAAACACAAGGGCUCCAAGACUUGUGUUUGGGUACCCAAAGUUCUUGUGUCUAAUGCCAAAGGACCCAAAACCAUUUGGGUACCUAAAGUCAAGAACUAAACUUGUUUUGUAGGUUUAUGCAUCCGGGGGCUCAAGUUGGAUACUCGACAGCGGGUGCACAAACCACAUGACUGGGGAGAAAAAGAUGUUCUCCUCUUAUGAGAAAAACCAAGAUCCCCAAAGAGCGAUCACAUUUGGGGAUGGAAAUCAAGGUUUGGUCAAAGGCUUGGGUAAAAUUGCUAUAUCUCCUGACCAUUCCAUUUCCAAUGUUUUUCUUGUUGAUUCCUUAGAUUACAAUUUGCUUUCCGUAUCUCAAUUAUGUCAAAUGGGUUACAACUGUCUAUUCACUGAUGUAGGUGUCACUGUCUUUAGAAGAAGUGAUGAUUCAAUAGCAUUUAAGGGAGUGUUAGAGGGUCAGCUAUACUUGGUAGAUUUUGAUAGAGCUGAACUCAACACUUGCUUAAUUGCUAAGACUAACAUGGGUUGGCUCUGGCACCGCCGACUAGCUCAUGUUGGGAUGAAGAAUCUUCAUAAGCUUCUAAAGGGAGAACACAUUUUAGGACUAACAAAUGUUCAUUUCGAGAAAGACAGAAUUUGUAGCGCAUGCCAAGCAGGAAAGCAAGUUGGCAUUCAUCAUCCGCAUAAGAACAUAAUGACGACCGACAGGCCACUGGAGCUCCUGCACAUGGAUCUAUUCGGCCCGAUCGCUUACAUAAGCAUCGGCGGGAGUAAGUACUGUCUUGUUAUUGUGGAUGAUUAUUCUCGCUUCACUUGGGUAUUCUUUUUACAGGAAAAAUCUCAAACCCAAGAGACCUUAAAGGGAUUCUUGAGACGGGCUCAAAAUGAGUUCGGCUUAAGGAUCAAGAAAAUAAGAAGCGACAACGGGACGGAGUUCAAGAACUCUCAAAUUGAAGGCUUUCUUGAGGAGGAGGGCAUCAAGCAUGAGUUCUCUUCUCCCUACACACCUCAACAAAAUGGUGUAGUGGAGAGGAAGAAUAGAACUCUUUUGGACAUGGCAAGAACCAUGCUUGAUGAAUACAAGACUUCGGAUCGGUUUUGGGCGGAGGCGGUCAACACCGCUUGCUACGCCAUCAACCGGUUAUAUCUUCACCGAAUCCUCAAGAAGACAUCAUAUGAACUCCUAACCGGUAAAAAGCCCAACAUUUCAUAUUUUAGAGUCUUUGGUAGCAAAUGCUUUAUUCUUGUUAAGAGAGGUAGAAAAUCUAAAUUUGCUCCCAAGACUGUAGAAGGUUUUUUACUUGGUUAUGACUCAAACACAAGGGCAUAUAGGGUCUUUAACAAGUCUACUGGGCUAGUUGAAGUCUCAUGUGACGUUGUGUUUGAUGAGACUAAUGGCUCUCAAGUAGAGCAAGUUGAUCUUGAUGAGAUAGGUGAAGAAGAGGCUCCAUGCAUCGCGCUAAGGAACAUGUCCAUUGGGGAUGUGUGUUCUAAGGAAUCCGAAGAGCCUUCAAAUGUACAAGAUCAACCAUCCUCCUCCACGCUAGCAUCUCCACCAACUCAAGAUGAGGAAGAGGCUCAAGUUGAUGAAGAAGAAGAUCAAUCAAAUGAGCCACCUCAAGAUGAUGGCAAUGAUCAAGGGGGAGAUGCAAAUAAUCAAGAAAAGGAGGAUGAGCAAGAACCAAGGCCGCCACACCCAAGAGUCCACCAAGCAAUCCAACGAGAUCACCCCGUCGACACCAUCCUCGGUGACAUUCAUAAGGGGGUAACUACUCGAUCUCGUGUUGCACAUUUCUGUGAACAUUACUCUUUUGUUUCCUCUAUUGAGCCACACAGGGUAGAGGAAGCACUCCAAGAUUCGGAUUGGGUGGUGGCGAUGCAAGAGGAGCUCAACAACUUCACGAGGAAUGAGGUAUGGCAUCUAGUUCCACGUCCUAAUCAAAAUGUUGUAGGAACCAAAUGGGUCUUCCGCAACAAGCAAGACGAGCAUGGUGUGGUGACAAGGAACAAAGCUCGACUUGUGGCCAAGGGAUACUCUCAAGUCGAAGGUUUGGAUUUUGGUGAAACCUAUGCACCCGUAGCUAGGCUUGAGUCAAUUCGCAUAUUAUUGGCCUAUGCUACUUACCAUGGCUUUAAGCUUUAUCAAAUGGACGUGAAAAGUGCCUUUCUCAAUGGACCAAUCAAGGAAGAGGUAUAUGUUGAGCAACCACCCGGCUUUGAAGACAGUGAGUAUCCUAACCAUGUCUAUAAGCUCUCUAAGGCGCUUUAUGGGCUCAAGCAAGCCCCAAGAGCAUGGUAUGAAUGCCUUAGAGAUUUUCUUAUUGCAAAUGGGUUCAAAGUCGGAAAGGCCGAUCCUACACUCUUUACUAAAACUCUUGAAAAUGACUUGUUUGUAUGCCAAAUUUAUGUUGAUGAUAUUAUAUUUGGGUCUACUAACGAGUCUACAUGUGAAGAGUUUAGUAGGAUUAUGACACAGAAAUUCGAGAUGUCUAUGAUGGGGGAGUUGAAGUAUUUCUUAGGAUUCCAAGUAAAGCAACUCCAAGAGGGCACCUUCAUUAGCCAAACGAAAUACACUCAAGACAUCUUAACCAAGUUUGGAAUGAAGGAUGCCAAGCCCAUCAAGACACCCAUGGGAACUAAUGGGCAUCUCGACCUCGACACGGGAGGUAAGUCCGUGGAUCAAAAGGUGUACCGGUCGAUGAUAGGUUCUUUGCUAUAUUUAUGUGCAUCUCGACCGGAUAUUAUGCUUUCCGUAUGCAUGUGUGCAAGAUUCCAAGCCGACCCUAAGGAAGCUCACCUUACGGCCGUGAAACGAAUCUUGAGAUAUUUGGCUUAUACUCCUAAGUUUGGGCUUUGGUAUCCUAGGGGAUCCACAUUUGAUUUAAUUGGUUAUUCGGAUGCCGAUUGGGCGGGGUGCAAAAUCAAUAGGAAGAGCACAUCGGGGACUUGCCAGUUCUUGGGAAGGUCCUUGGUGUCUUGGGCUUCAAAGAAGCAAAAUUCGGUCGCUCUUUCCACCGCCGAAGCCGAGUACAUUGCCGCAGGCCAUUGUUGCGCGCAAUUGCUUUGGAUGAGGCAAACCCUGCGGGACUACGAUUACAAAUUAACCAAAGUCCCUUUGCUAUGUGACAAUGAGAGUGCAAUCAAAAUGGCCGACAAUCCCGUCGAGCAUAGCCGCACUAAGCACAUAGCCAUUCGGUAUCAUUUUUUGAGGGAUCACCAACAAAAGGGAGAUAUCGAGAUUUCAUACAUUAAUACUAAAGAUCAAUUAGCCGAUAUCUUUACCAAGCCUCUUGAUGAACAAUCUUUUAACAAACUUAGGCAUGAGCUCAAUAUUCUUGAUUCGCGCAAUUUCUUUUGCUAGAUUGCACACAUUGCUCUUUUAUACACCUUUAAUCAUGUCUCUUUUAUAUGCUAUGACUAAUGUGUUUUCAAGUCUAUUUCAAACCAAGUCAUAGGUAUAUUGAAAGGGAAUUGGAGUCUUCGGCGAAGACAAAGGCUUCCACUCCGUAACUCAUACUUCGCCAUCACUCCAAGCAACUCUCUAUUCCUUGGGGAGAAAUGAGCAUCAAGGACUUCGUCUUUGGUAUACUCUUAACUCAUUUAUUUCAUGACCAAAGGGGAAUAUAGCACUUUGGGGCUCUAAUGAUUCCGUUUUUGGCGAUUCAUGCCAAAAAGGGGGAGAAAUGAGACCAAAGCAAAAGGACCGCACCACCAACCAAUUUCAAAAACUUAGUGUUGAAUAUUUUCAAAUGGUAUCCUACUGUGUUCUAAAAGGGAAGAAAGUAGCAUUUCAAAAAGGCAUAUCAAAACCCUCUUGAACACUAAGAGGAGGAUCUCUUUUAGGGGGAGUUUUGUUUAAGUCAAAGAAAAAGCAUUUGAAAUAGGGGGAGAAAAUUUCAAAUCUUGAAAAUGCUUUGCAAAACUUUUAUUCACUACCUUUGACUAUUUGCAAAAAGAACUUAGAAAAGAUUUACAAAAGAUUUUGCAAAAACAAAACAUGUGGUGCAAGCGUGGUCCAAAAUGUUAUAAGUAAGAAACAAUCCAUGCAUAUCUUGUAAGUAUUUAUAUUGGCUAAAUUCCAAGCAACCUUUACACUUACAUUAUGCAAACUAGUUCAAUUAUGCACUUCUAUAUUUGCUUUGGUUUGUGUUGGCAUCAAUCACCAAAAAGGGGGAGAUUGAAAGGGAAUUAGGCUUACACCUAGUUCCUAUAUAAUUUUGGUGGUUGAAUUGCCCAACACAAAUAAUUGGACUAACUAGUUUGCCCAAGUGUAUAGAUUAUACAGGUGUAAAAGGUUCACACUCAGCCAAUAAAAAGACCAAGUUUUGGAUUCGACAAAGGAGCAAAGUGGCAACCGAAGGCCCUCUGGUCUGGGAGCACCGGACUGUCCGGUGUACACCGGACAGUGUCCGGUGCACCAGAGGACUCCAACUUCAAACUCGCCACCUUCGGGAAUUUCCAGAGGCACUCGCGCUAUAAUUCACCGGACUGUCCGGUGUGCACCGGACUGUCCGGUGCGCCAAGAAAGGACGGCCUCCGGAACUCGCCAGCCUCGGGUUUUCACUUCAGGUGUUCCGCUAAAAUUCACCGGACUGUCCGGUGCAUCCUCAGAGCAACGACUACUUCACGCCAACGGCUACCUGCAACGGCAUUUAAUGCGCGCGCAGCGCGCGCAGAAGUCAGAGUCGCCCAUGCCGGCGCACCGGACAGCAAACAGUACCUGUCCGGUGUGCACCGGACACCCAGGCGGGCCCACAAGUCAGAAGCUCCAACGGUCAGAAUCCAACGGCAAUGAUGACGUGGCAGGGGGCACCGGACUGUCCGGUGUGCACCGGACUGUCCGGUGCGCCAUCAAACAGACGGCCUCCACCAACGGUCAAGUUGGUGGUUGGGGCUAUAAAUACCCCAACCACCCCACCAUUCAUUGCAUCCAAGUUUUCCAGCUUUCAACCACUAUACAAGAGCUAGCAUUCAUUGCAAAGCACACCAAAAGAGAUCAAAUCCUCUCCCAACUCCAUACAAAGCAUUAGUGAUUAGAGAGAGUGAUUUUUAGUGUUCAUUUGAGCUCUUGCGCUUGGAUCGCUUCUUUUCUUUCGCAUUCUUUCUUGUGAUCAAACACUCACUUGUAAUUGAGGCAAGAGGCACCAAUCGUGUGGUGGCCCUUGCGGGAAGUUUGAUUCCCAAGUGAUUUGAGGAGAGAAGCUCACUCGGUCCGAGGGACCGUUUGAGAGAGGGAAGGGUUGAAAGAGACCCGGCCUUUGUGGCCUCCUCAACGGGGAGUAGGUUUGCGAGAACCGAACCUCGGUAAAACAAAUCCGCGUGUCUCACUUACUUAUUCGCUUGCGAUUUGUUUUGCGCCCUCUCUCGCGGACUCGAUUUUAUUUCUAACGCUAACCCGGCCUGUAGUUGUGUUUAUAUUUGUAAAUUUCAGUUUCGCCCUAUUCACCCCCCCUCUAGGCGACUAUCACAAAUCAAAUCGAACGCAGUGUAAAAUGACGUUGUUGACAUCGUCCCAGUUCGUUCCGAUUGUAUAUCGCCUAGAUUCAAACGUUCGGGUACAAAUAUCUGAUAAAAAUUUAUCUGAUUAUGGGAAUGCCUACCAAAUCAAACAUCAUUUAAAUAUUAUCGCCGAUCUCAUUUCAGUCUAAUCGAUUUGUGUAUCUGUUAAAUGUUAAUUCGAGCACGGUAUUUAUCCAUAGGUUAUUGUAAAAAAGAGAAGAAUUCUAACUUAUCAUCUCCACCAUUUUGUCUUUGAUUUAUCCAAACCGUAUCUUCCUUUUAUAUGGGAUUUUGUUAAAGAAAAGAGGAAACAAAUCUCUUCUCUAUUUUCUUUACUUAUCCUCAUUGGUCCCUUCGUUUAUCCAAUGCACCUGAGGCACGUACAUUUCUCUAGAAGCCAUUCAUUCUCUUACGGCACGUACAAGCUUUUCUCCUCACAUAACGUCUUCCAUUGUCCGGCCUCCCAGCUCUACUUGCUUAGGUGUCGAGUCCACCGUCCCCGUCUCCGGCUUGUUCCAGGUCACCCACGUACGUGUGUUAUCUCUGGAAAAUUCCCACCCUUCACUGUCCUUAUCGCUUACGUCCUCAGCCUCAUCCUACCGGUUCACAGGAAUCGGACAUCUUCUCCAUACCAAUUCUCAGCCGCCGCUCGCCCAGUCCCCUAGACAUCACCGCCCCCAGCCGAUUCCCAGCUCCCUCCACCAUGCCGCUGCCAUGGAACUCACUGCUCGGCCGCGCCCUGGCCAUGCUCCCUGCGCUUGCCAGCCGUGCACAUCUCCCUCUAUGCGCGCGCGCCUGCGUCCUGCGCCGCGAACCUCGCCGUGGAGUUCCCGACGCUCUGCCCAGCCCCAGCACUUGGCUUCCAUCCCAGCCGCGCCCUGCUCGGCUUCUCUGGUGCCGGCCGCCGUUCCAAGUCGCUGUUCCAGCCGAUCUCAUUACUCGUUGCUCCUGAUGGCUGAUUGGACCUUGUAAUGUUGUGACAACGACACGCAAUGGUGAUUUCCUUUCUCUGCUGCUGUCUGUACGGUGCUCGGGAUAUUUCCAUUCAUUAUUGUCUUUGCUUCUCUAGCCGCCCAUUAGAUGCUCGAUGCGACGCCUAAACCGGAAACCAUUGCCGUGCUUGCGUUCAUCACACCAGGUUGGUCAUGGUAAGCUGAUUGAUUGCUUGUGUAGUUAAAUUGAUGACAGGUGUAUGUUUCCAGAUUUUGUUGCACAUCUCAUUAAGUUAUUGAAUUAAUAUAUUAAAGCGUAAUAACUAGUUUUAGUUUCAAUCAACAUUAGCAAAGUGUAGUGUAUGCAUCGGGUGUUCUAGUGGAUGUAUUAGUCUAGUGUUAGUAAAUUGGUUUGUGUGAUGUGAAUGAAAUUGUUUUCAGGCGUGUGUCUUAAAAUUGAUAUAGGUUGGGGUUAGUUCUAUGCUUUAGUGGUCAUAGUACUUGAUAUUUACUAACCGAGUUUAGGUUGAAUGGAGGUAUAUGCAUAGUGUCAUAAGAGUAGUUCUUCAUUUGCAAUAUGAACCUUAGAUCGAAGAUACAACUCAUACGAAGUAAUUGUGUGUAUGGUUAUAAAGUAGAAGUAAUCUACAUAUGUGAUUAGAAAGUGCCAAGCACAUGAUAAUUAUAGGAGUAAAUUGAAUGUUUGCUGUUUGGACUAUGUCCAGUUUUAGUAUGCAGGUAGUUGAGUGAAGUAAACCUUGUUUUCUACAGAAGGAUUAUAUACAAAAGUUGUAGCUAACUUCUUUAUCUUGGUUGUGUAAAAAUUUCAUGACCAUAGGUUUAGUAGUUUAGGAGUUACAAUUUUUCAAAGUCUAGUCUCAGAAUCUGUCCAGAUUCUGUACUGAUUUCGAAAAUAACCUUGUUUGCCCAAGUUAAACUUAGAAUUAGCUCUUAGUAAUUAUAGGAGAAUUGUAGUACUUUUCUUAAGCUUUCCAACAAAAUUUGGAUCACCCUUUUUGGUGAGCUAUAAAUUAAGUUACAGUUGGUUGAGUUAGGAUCUCUGAAUCUGUCCCAAUUUGGACAGCGGAGCCUUUCUCAUGUUUUCUGACCUUUAUAUAUAUUGAAUUAACCUGGGACAUUUAUAAAUGAAUUGUAGACAAUUCUAUUAGCUUUCUAAAAAGUCUAGGAUCACCUGAUUUGGAUGUCUGAAACUCCAGUUAUGGAUUUUUGAAGUGAAGAGCCGAAUUCUGUCCAAAUCUGGAUAGAAUUAAAGUUUGGCACUGUUUGACCUUUCAAACUGUUGGAUCAUGUUGUGAUGAUAAUAUAAGAGUUAUAGAGGACUUUCUAAGCUUUCCAGAAAAUCCUAGUUUACUAUUUUUAGAUGCAUAUUUUGUGAGUUAUGAAUAAAACAAUUAACCGUUGUGCUGCUGUCCAAAAUCAGCAGGCAUUAAAAUGAUUUGCUCGGAAUUUCUUUUAUGUAAGUAACUAGAUUUGGUUAGUCCUUGGCUUGAUUAAUGACGUAUGGUAGUUGCGUAUGGUUGUUCUUUUCUUUCUUAAUGCUUGCCUUAGACUUUAGCAUUUUAAGAAGGAAGUAAAUACUUUGGUUAGUGUAUUUGAGUUAGCGACUAUUUAGACCUUUAGGUUAAGAUGAGUGCAAUUUCAUUGAACCCUAUGUUAAUUGGUAGUGAAUUAUCCGUUAGUUCUAAGUAUGUUAUGAUGUUUUGUUUAGUCGAUAUACGUUGAUAGUUAAUCUAGAGGAAUGUUUUAGAAAGUUAGAUGGAUGAUUUUUAACAUACUAAGUUUUAGAUGUGUUUAAUAAUUGUGAGCGUGAAUUGUUACUUGACUCUCGAUUCUAUGUUCUAGUUAAGGAAAAUACAUAGCUUGUGUAGGGUUCAAUAUUCUUUGAUGUUUGUGUUAGAUUUGGUUAAGCCAGAGAAACGUAAUUGUGAUACGUAGUGAUAUGUCAAUAUAUAAUAAUUGUUUUUAAGUAUUGCGAUACAUCAGUGUUAUAUUCUAAAUAUAUUAGGACUUGUAUGUUGCUAAUGUUACUUGAUGAUUGAUUUAGGUCCGAUUGACUAGAACGUCAUGGUUGAUAUAGAAUUUAAUAUAUCUAGUUGUUACACCUAAGUGUUGUGAUGUUUUGCUUUAAGUUUGUAUCCUCCUUAGUAUAACUUAUCUAUCUUGUGCUAUUCAUGCUCCUACUCACUCAUAUGCAUUAUGCAUGUCAUUUAGGUACGUUAAUUGAUCACGUGAUGUGGAAGACAAGGUUUGGAUUGAUCUCAAGAUAAUGUUGAUGGAUGAAGCUAAAGUGGGUGAAUCAAACAAGUGCCAGGAUGAGAGAUGCUCACCAAGUGGUCUUCAUCUAACAACACUAACGUAGUGUUAUCCCAGGCAAGCCCCGGUGCAUUUGCCACCUUCUUGUUGUUUUUAAAACUUUUAUCACUUAUAUGCUGCAUUAGGUGAUAGGAGUUGAGUGAUGAAACAGUUGAUGCAUUACCAUUCCUUGGAAUUUGAUUAUCCUCCUUGCUACCUGUUUUAUAAAGAGAACUAAUGAGGCUUAGCCCUACCUAGAGAAUUAAAACUUGUUUCUUUUUAAAAGAAUGAUGUGUGACACUGGGUAUGGGUUUGUUUUAUGAAAAAGGACUUGUAAUGGUGAGCGCAUCAUCUGCAGUGAUGAAUUCAUCAUUCAAGUAUGGUACCUCUGUCAGGUACAUGGUUUUGGGAAGGAAAAUAAUAAGAUGAGACCAGACGUUGAGCAGGAAAGGUCGUCCGUCUGUGUCGAUUAAGGACCGUACCGAAAGUAGGCUUGCUGACGUCAUGGGUAAGCUUAGCCUCGGCUGGACCAAUACCAGAAAGGCCGGCCCGCAAUGGGAGUGGAGAGAUGGCGAGAGUAUCGUGUAUCCACCUGGCAAGAGGCUGGAUGGUGGGGUACUGAGCUCUCGGUUGGCGGGGACCCGUUCUGGUCUUGAGAAACCUGUGGGCGAGUUGACAUAUGCAAGGGUUAAGUGCUACAUAUGUCGUGUGGUUGGAGAUCCUCAGCUGAGUAUUAAUCGAUUCGGAUCGCCGUUACUUCUCGGAUAUGAAGACUGGAUCACUGCCCUGCAUCGUAGAUAACAAGUGAAACUAAAGCUGCUAAAAUGAAGCUAGUAUAGGACAAGUGAAUGCUCUAGAUUAGGCAAAUCUAGAUUCAGGAAAAGUACUUAACCUGUGAAGUAAAAUUUUGGCAUAAGGAUCCACUACUAGUAAGCUCUUCUGCAAAAUGAGUCUUUGAAAUUUGAUAAGCUUUACCUUGAUUCCCAAUAAACCAGCAUACCCUUGAGAGUCUUUUCUUUAGUC